CCCACAAGUCAGCAGAGUUUUUGUCAGCCACCACGAUGACAGCAAGAAGCUCUCUCACAGGACAGAACCUCAGCAAAGCGAACGAAGAUUUCAUGAAACAGAUGUGCAGUGCUGCUGUCUCCUGCUCAGCCUUGGACCUGGCUGCUGCUCUGAGGGACAUCCAGAUAUAGGAUGAAAAAAUCGCAGCCAAGAACCUGCAGGUUACAAUUCAAAAACCUGCGUUUCCGCCUGCCAAGAGAAGCUCGUCCGCCUUCAGCCCCAGCCGCCCGUGUUUGC